rnacentral:rRNA from 1 species
CUCAGGAUGAACGCUGGCGGCGUGCUUAACACAUGCAAGUCGAACGGAGAUAUAUGUAGGAAGUUUUCGGAUGGAAUAUGUAUAUCUUAGUGGCGGACGGGUGAGUAACGCGUAAACAAUCUGCCUUAGAGAGGGGGAUAACAGAUAGAAAUAUUUGCUAAUACCGCAUAAGACCAAGCUUGGCAUCAAGCAAUGGUAAAAGGAGAAAUCCGCUUUAAGAUGAGUUUGCGUACUAUUAGCUAGUUGGUGAGGUAACGGCCCACCAAGGCAACGAUGGUUAGCCGGCCUGAGAGGGUGAACGGCCACAUUGGAACUGAGAUACGGUCCAGACUCCUACGGGAGGCAGCAGUGAGGAAUAUUGGGCAAUGGGCGAAAGCCUUCGACCCAGCAACGCCGCGUGAAGGAAGAAGGUUUCGGAUUGUAAACUUCUGUUAUAGGGGAAAAGAAAGUGAUGGUACCCUAUGAGAAAGCUACGGCAAACUAUGUGCCAGCCGCUGC